rnacentral:rRNA from 1 species
GACGAACGCUGGCGGCGUGCUUAACACAUGCAAGUCGAACGGAAAGGCCCUGCUUUUGUGGGGUGCUCGAGUGGCGAACGGGUGAGUAACACGUGAGUAACCUGCCCUUGACUUUGGGAUAACUUCAGGAAACUGGGGCUAAUACCGGAUAGGAGCUCCUGCUGCAUGGUGGGGGUUGGAAAGUUUCGGCGGUUGGGGAUGGACUCGCGGCUUAUCAGCUUGUUGGUGGGGUAGUGGCUUACCAAGGCUUUGACGGGUAGCCGGCCUGAGAGGGUGACCGGCCACAGUGGGACUGAGAUACGGCCCGGACUCCUACGGGAGGCAGCAGUGGGGAAUAUUGCACAAUGGGCGGAAGCCUGAUGCAGCAACGCCGCGUGCGGGAUGACGGCCUUCUGGUUGUAAACCGCUUUCGCCUGUGACGAAGCGUGAGUGACGGUAAUGGGUAAAGAAGCACCGGCUAACUACGUG